CCUACGGGUGGCUGCAGUGGGGAAUAUUGGACAAUGGGGGGAACCCUGAUCCAGCCAUGCCGCGUGUGUGAAGAAGGCCCUCGGGUUGUAAAGCACUUUCAGUGAGGAAGAACGCCUGGUGGUUAAUACCCAUCAGGAAAGACAUCACUCACAGAAGAAGCACCGGCUAACUCCGUGCCAGCAGCCGCGGUAAUACGGAGGGUGCGAGCGUUAAUCGGAAUUACUGGGCGUAAAGCGCGCGUAGGUGGCUUGAUAAGCCGGUUGUGAAAGCCCCGGGCUCAACCUGGGAACGGCAUCCGGAACUGUCAAGCUAGAGUGCAGGAGAGGAAGGUAGAAUUCCCGGUGUAGCGGUGAAAUGCGUAGAGAUCGGGAGGAAUACCAGUGGUGAAGGCGGCCUUCUGGACUGACACUGACACUGAGGUGCGAAAGCGUGGGUAGCAAACAGGAUUAGAUACCCCUGUAGUC
rnacentral:rRNA from 1 species